GACGAACGCUGGCGGCGUGCUUAACACAUGCAAGUCGAACGGAAAGGCCCUGCUUUUGUGGGAUGCUCGAGUGGCGAACGGGUGAGUAACACGUGAGUAACCUGCCCUUGACUUUGGGAUAACUUCAGGAAACUGGGGCUAAUACCGGAUAGGAGCUCCUGCUGCAUGGUGGGGGUUGGAACGUUUCGGCGGGUGGGGAUGGACUCGCGGCUUAUCAGCUUGUUGGUGGGGUAGUGGCUUACCAAGGCUUUGACGGGUAGCCGGCCUGAGAGGGUGACCGGCCACAUUGGGACUGAGAUACGGCCCAGACUCCUACGGUAGGCAGCAGUGGGGAAUAUUGCACAAUGGGCGGAAGCCUAAUGCAGCAACGCCGCGUUCGUGAUGUCGGCCUUCGGGUUGUAAACCGCUUUCGCCUGUGACGAAGCGUGAGUGACGGUAAUGGGUAAAGAAGCACCGGCUAACUACGUG
rnacentral:rRNA from 1 species